rnacentral:lncRNA from 1 species
GUUUCAGAUGAUGGAGGGGACACUGGAGAGGAAGCACGUGCUGCAGACAGGAGGUAGAAAGGCAACCUGCCGUGCCUGGAGCCUGUUCCAUGCAGUGCUGAUGAGGCAGACGCUGUGCUUCUACCAGGACCGGAGGGACAGCCUUAAGAGCUCCGUGGUGGCCCUUCCCCUGAACCUCUCUGGGGCGGUCUGCACCUCAGACACAGAGUACACCAAAAAGACCAACUGCUUCAGGCUACAGCUACGGGAUGGCUCUGAGUAUCUUCUGAGGGCCCCGUCCCAGCUGCUCAUGAAUGAGUGGGUCUCCAAGCUGCAGCAGAACUCAGGUUUCCCCGAAGUGGAUUACUUCCAGGCAGCAGCACAGAGUGUCGAGAGCACCAGCUCUGCUGGGGGCAAGGUCCCUGGGCCUGGAAGCUCCCACCUUCAGGGUCACCCUCAGGCCAUGACUGCCAAGAGCCAAGAGAUCGUGGUGCUACCCUGCUCAAAUGCCAGGCUGCACCUGCCUUUUGGGAGCCAGGAUGGCGCAGCAGAUGUGGCAGCAUCCUCAGCAGAGGAUGUUUGUGGAGCUGCCGGCCACGCAGUUGGGCACAGGGAGCACCAGUGGUCACCCAGUGGGUCCCCUGGGUCAUGGGACAAGAGCUGCCCAGAAGAUGWCUACGGACUGGUGGCCAACAAGAGGAGGUCCUACUCGUUCACCUCAGCCACCUACCAGAAGAUCACACCCAUAGCUGUGCCCAAGGAUCCCGUGGAGGCCGGGAGCAGCUACUCCAUCACACUAUACAUCGGGGAGCAAGCGCCAGCCGUGCCCAGGACACGCUGCCACUCCUUUGUAGCCAGGCCGGGAAGCCCACGGGAGGUGCUGGGGGAGAAGACCCAGGGCCCUCCUCGUCCCAAGAACAAAUCCGUCUUCAAGAAGUUCUUUGGGAAGAAGGAGUGAGCCCCAGACAAGGAGGAGAAAAGCAAAAGCCUGCCCCUUUUCCUCCUCUCAGGCCUGCUUCAGGUGCAACCUUAGUAAAGUCUCUCCUCCCAGCACCAGCCCUCACCGCUCGCCGUCGCCUUGGGGCACCCAGCACUACGAGGGGGAGAGACGCUGUAGCAAGCGGCUCUGCUUCAGCACAGCCCCAGGGGGCUCCUCACUCCCAGCCACGGCCGCUGCCUUCCUCAGCCAGGCGCUGAGCCCCUUGUCUGCCCCGYGGGCCCCUUCCCAGCAGGCAGGGGCACUCUCCUUGCCCUCGCCAAGCUGGUGGUGGCUCUCCCUGCCGCUGAUUCAGCUGGAUCCCCAGGCAUCCCUCCUACACGCAGCACAAGCAGGGUUGAGGGGGU